rnacentral:misc_RNA from 1 species
GAUGAAGAACGUAGCGAAAUGCGAUAAGUAGUGUGAAUUGCAGAAUUCAGUGAAUCAUCGAACCUUUGAACGCACAUUGCGCCCCUUGGUAUUCCAUGGGGCAUGCCUGUUCGAGCGUCAUUUGUACCUUCAAGCUUUGCUUGGUGUUGGGUGUUUGUCUCGCCUUUGCGUGUAGACUCGCCUUAAAAUAAUUGGCAGCCGGCGUAUUGAUUUCGGAGCGCAGUACAUCUCGCGCUUUGCACUCAUAACGACAGCGUCCAAAAGUACAUUUUACACUCUUGACCUCGGAUCAGGUAGGGAUACCCGCUGAACUUAAGCAUAUCAAUAAGCGGAGGA